UACGAAGGGGGCUAGCGUUGCUCGGAAUCACUGGGCGUAAAGGGUGCGUAGGCGGGUUUUUAAGUCAGAGGUGAAAUCCUGGAGCUCAACUCCAGAACUGCCUUUGAUACUGAAAGUCUUGAGUAUGGGAGAGGUGAGUGGAACUGCGAGUGUAGAGGUGAAAUUCGUAGAUAUUCGCAAGAACACCAGUGGCGAAGGCGGCUCACUGGCCCAUUACUGACGCUGAGGCGCGAAAGCUAGGGGAGCAAACGGG
rnacentral:rRNA from 1 species